rnacentral:rRNA from 1 species
AUUGAACGCUGGCGGCAUGCCUUACACAUGCAAGUCGAACGGCAGCACGGGAGCAAUCCUGGUGGCGAGUGGCGAACGGGUGAGUAAUAUAUCGGAACGUGCCCGGUCGUGGGGAUAACGUAGCGAAAGCUACGCUAAUACCGCAUACGAUCUACGGAUGAAAGCGGGGGAUCGCAAGACCUCGCGCGAUUGGAGCGGCCGAUAUCAGAUUAGGUAGUUGGUGAGGUAAAGGCUCACCAAGCCAACGAUCUGUAGCUGGUCUGAGAGGACGACCAGCCACACUGGAACUGAGACACGGUCCAGACUCCUACGGGAGGCAGCAGUGGGGAAUUUUGGACAAUGGGCGCAAGCCUGAUCCAGCAAUGCCGCGUGCAGGAUGAAGGCCU